CCUCACUACAACAGAAUUAGGUUAUAGGGACACAUGUUUGGGACACUUUUGAGUAAGUGUCCUAUUUAUCCUAAAACUUAAAAAAAUAUCUACUAAUGCCUAAAUAUAAAGCCCAAUCCAACCAAAUAUAAAAGAUUACUCUACUCAACCCACCACACCCAGUCUAUUUGGCCCGAUUACAAAUAGAAAAAAAAAAAAAUCAAUUACCAUUUUUUCUUCUCUCUUCACUCAAUCCACUGAAAUUCUAGACGAAAAGCCUUUCCUGUCGUCCUCCUCCGCCACCGCAGCCAACGAGAUAGAGUUUCGGCGGUUGCUAAAUGCUUAAAUAAGUGUUGGUAAAUUAGCAGCACUCUUUUAGGUUAUAACGACACUCUUUAACUGUCACUAUAUACCUAGCGACCCCACAUAUAGCAACACUUUUUAAAAGUGUCGGUAAUUUUAGCUAGCAGCACUUUCUUGACAUGUACCUACAUUUAAAAGUGUCGCUAUAUACCGUUUUUGUUGUAGUGCCUAGGUUUCAACAACACAAAAAUCCGCGAUUCUAGCUUGAGAUUCAAGCAUGGAACAUCUAUUGGGGAUGCUAGAGUUCAAACUAAACCAAUCCUAGAGCAUAAAACUCAAACCCUAGGAAAAUGCGAUUAAAGGGUUUGGAGCUUACCUCUCCAAAACUUGCUCCAACUUAAAAAAGAGAUAAGAAGGUGAUCUAUUUCUUCUUCUUUGUCUCCUUCUCCUCCUACUCCUUUUCUUUCCUCUUCUUCUUCUUCUCUUUCUUUUCUUUCUAGAGAGAGAGAGGGAGAGUUUAGGGUUGCAAGGAUGAGAGGGAAGAGAGAAAAGACCCAUUUCUCUCUUCUAUACACUCACAUGAGUGCAAAAUUGCAUAAAAACUCUUCAACAAUGCAUUUCUCGCAACAGCCCAAACUG
rnacentral:lncRNA from 1 species